UACGUAGGGGGCUAGCGUUGUCCGGAAUCAUUGGGCGUAAAGCGCGUGUAGGCGGCCCGGUAAGUCCGCUGUGAAAGUCCAGGGCUCAACCCUGGGAUGCCGGUGGAUACUGUCGGGCUCGAGUCCGGAAGAGGCGAGUGGAAUUCCUGGUGUAGCGGUGAAAUGCGCAGAUAUCAGGAGGAACACCGGUGGCGAAGGCGGUUCUCUGGGCCUGUACUGACGCUGAGGAACGAAAGCGUGGGGAGCGAACAGG
rnacentral:rRNA from 1 species